rnacentral:rRNA from 1 species
AGAGUUUGAUCCUGGCUCAGAACGAACGCUGGCGGCGUGCCUAACACAUGCAAGUCGCGCGAGAAAAGGGGGGCAACUCCCUGAGUAAAGCGGCGAACGGGUGAGUAACACGUAGGUAACCUACCCUCGAGUCCGGGAUAACCUACCGAAAGGUGGGCUAAUACUGGAUAUGACCACGGGAGUCUCGGCUCCUGCGGUGAAAGGUGGCCUCUGCUUGCAAGCCACCGCUCAUGGAUGGGCCUGCGCGCCAUUAGCUAGUUGGUGAGGUAACGGCUCACCAAGGCGAUGAUGGCUAGCUGGUCUGAGAGGAUGGCCAGCCACACUGGGACUGAAACACGGCCCAGACUCCUACGGGAGGCAGCAGUGGGGGAUAUUGCGCAAUGGGCGAAAGCCUGACGCAGCGACGCCGCGUGGGUGAUGAAGGCCUUCGGGUCGUAAAGCCCUGUCGAGGGGAAAGAAACGGUUCCGACCCAACACGUCGGGACCCUGACGGUACCCCUAAAGGAAGCACCGGCUAACUCCGUGCCAGCAGCCGCGGUAAUACGGAGGGUGCGAGCGUUGUUCGGAAUCACUGGGCGUAAA